rnacentral:rRNA from 1 species
AAACUGCGAAUGGCUCAUUAAAUCAGUUAUCGUUUAUUUGAUAGUACCUUACUACUUGGAUAACCGUGGUAAUUCUAGAGCUAAUACAUGCUAAAAACCCCGACCUCGGAAGGGGUGUAUUUAUUAGAUAAAAAACCAAUGCUCUUCGGGGCUCCUUGGUGAUUCAUAAUAACUUAACGAAUCGCAUGGCCUUGUGCCGGCGAUGGUUCAUUCAAAUUUCUGCCCUAUCAACUUUCGAUGGUAGGAUAGUGGCCUACCAUGGUUUCAACGGGUAACGGGGAAUUAGGGUUCUAUUCCGGAGAGGGAGCCUGAGAAACGGCUACCACAUCCAAGGAAGGCAGCAGGCGCGCAAAUUACCCAAUCCCGACACGGGGAGGUAGUGACAAUAAAUACUGAUACAGGGCUCUUUUGAGUCUUGUAAUUGGAAUGAGUACAAUUUAAAUCCCUUAACGAGGAACAAUUGGAGGGCAAGUCUGGUGCCAGCAGCCGCGGUAAUUCCAGCUCCAAUAGCGUAUAUUAAAGUUGUUGCAGUUAAAAAGCUCGUAGUUGAACCUUGGGCCUGGCUGGCCGGUCCGCCUCAC